rfam:Beta vulgaris subsp. vulgaris Bvchr1.sca001.con0141.1, whole genome shotgun sequence.
ACACCACUAUGGACAGGGUCUAUGGGCGAUCAGUAAGGCCCAUUGCCUAGGGUGUUGGCCUCCAUUGCACUUAGGAGGAGCAACUUCCUAAGAUAUUAUUCUCAAGUGGGAGAGUCUACGUCAUAAUUUAUUUGUGAGGAGGCCUGCGUUCACGCGACCCCUAU